UACGUAGGUUCCAAGCGUUACCCGGUUUUAUUGGGCGUAAAGCGUCUGUAGGUGGUUUUCUAAGUCUUGUUUCAAAGUCCCCGACUUAAUCGGGGGAAGGGGCAGGAUACUGGAAGGCUAGAGUUAUAUCGGGGUUACUGGAAUUUAUAGUGUAGGGGUAAAAUCCGUGGAUACUAUAAAGAACACCAAGCGCGAAGGCGGGUAACCAGGUAUAUACUGACACUCAGAGACGAAAGCUAGGGGAGUCAAUCAG
rnacentral:rRNA from 1 species